rnacentral:rRNA from 1 species
CUACGGGGCGCAGCAGUGGGGAAUAUUGCACAAUGGGCGCAAGCCUGAUGCAGCCAUGCCGCGUGUAUGAAGAAGGCCUUCGGGUUGUAAAGUACUUUCAGCGGGGAGGAAGGGAGUAAAGUUAAUACCUUUGCUCAUUGACGUUACCCGCAGAAGAAGCACCGGCUAACUCCGUGCCAGCAGCCGCGGUAAUACGGAGGGUGCAAGCGUUAAUCGGAAUGACUGGGCGUAAAGCGCACGCAGGCGGUUUGUUAAGUCAGAUGUGAAAUCCCCGGGCUGAACCUGGGAACUGCAUCUGAUACUGGCAAGCUUGAGUCCCGUAGAGGGGGGUAGAAUUCCAGGUGUAGCGGUGAAAUGCGUAGAGAUCUGGAGGAAUACCGGUGGCGAAGGCGGCCCCCUGGACGAAGACUGACGCUCAGGUGCGAAAGCGUGGGGAGCAAACAGGAUUAGAUAGCCCAGUAGUC